UAGCGGAGGAAAAGAAACCAACAGGGAUUGCCCUAGUAACGGCGAGUGAAGCGGCAACAGCUCAAUUUGAAAUCUGGCUUUCGGGCCCGAGUUGUAAUUUGUAGAGGAUGAUUUUGAUGCGGUGCCUUCCGAGUUCCCUGGAACGGGACGCCAUAGAGGGUGAGAGCCCCGUCUGGUUGGAUGCCAAAUCUCUGUAAAUCUCCUUCGACGAGUCGAGUAGUUUGGGAAUGCUGCUCUAAAUGGGAGGUAUAUGUCUUCUAAAGCUAAAUACCGGCCAGAGACCGAUAGCGCACAAGUAGAGUGAUCGAAAGAUGAAAAGCACUUUGAAAAGAGAGUUAAAAAGUACGUGAAAUUGUUGAAAGGGAAGCGUUUAUGACCAGACUUGGGCUUGGUUAAUCAUCUGGGGUUCUCUCCAGUGCACUUUUCCAGUCCAGGCCAGCAUCAGUUUUCGCCGGGGGAUAAAGGCUUCGGGAAUGUGGCUCCCCUCGGGGAGUGUUAUAGCCCGUUGUGUAAUACCCUGGUGGGGACUGAGGUUCGCGCUUCUGCAAGGAUGCUGGCGUAAUGGUCAUCAACGACCCGUCUUGAAACACGGACA
rnacentral:rRNA from 1 species